CACUUCGUUAUAAACGGUUUGCCCGAAUUAGAUUUUCUCUUAUUUCGGCUUUUUUACAUAAAUUUUUUGCUUUCUUUUUAGUUUCUAUCAAAAAGUUCUAACGGUUAUGAAAAAAGUGCUGUAUAUGACUUUGUAAAAUAUUCUUUGGGUAAUGGAGUGUUUACUGCACCAGCAUCCAUAUGGAAGAUUCAUCGAAAUAUCUUACAUCCAGUAUUCAAAGAAAAAAUGGUUUCAACUUAUGUGGACUUAAUAGUAAAAAAUUCAAACAGACUAAAUAACAUUUUAGAAACUACUAACGAAAAAAACAUAGAUUUCAUGCAUUACGUACAUCUUUGUACGUUGGACAUCAUAUAUGAUAGCCUAUUGGAAAGUGACUUAAAUUUGCAGAGCGAUCCGGAUUGUAAUCUUGAUAAAUAUAUGUCAAAGUAAUAAUUAGUAAAAUAUUUUUUUAUUUAUAUUGUAAUCUACUAUUAUUG
rnacentral:lncRNA from 1 species